rnacentral:snoRNA from 1 species
UGGUUAUGCAUAACCCAUCAUUCAGAAUAACUCCAGAAAUCAUUUAAAAUAAUUAAUAUUCUCCCUUCAGCCAAGCCCAGAGAGGCCAGGCAUCCUCUCUGUGGGAGAGGCAUUCAAGGAAGGGGCCUCGCCUGGGCUAUCCAAGCCUCACAUUG